GAUGAAGAACGCAACGAAAUGCGAUAAGUAAUGUGAAUUGCAGAAUUCAGUGAAUCAUCGAAUCUUUGAACGCAUCUUGCGCUCCUUGGUAUUCCUUGGAGCAUGCCUGUUUGAGUAUCAUGAGCAAAUCUCAAAGUCAAUUCCUUUUGUUAAUUCAAUUGGUUUUGCUUUGGACUUGGAGGUCUUGCAGAUUUUCACAGUCUGCUCCUCUUAAAUGCAUUAGCUGGAUCUCAGUAAUUAUGCUUGGUUCCACUCGGCGUGAUAAGUAUCACUCGCUGAGGACACUGUUAAAAAGGUGGCCAGGAAAAUACUGAUUGAACCGCUUCUAACGGUCUAUUAAGUUAGACAAUUACCCUUAAGUUUGAUCUCAAAUCAGGUAGGACUACCCGCUGAACUUAAACAUAUCAAUAAGCGGAGGA
rnacentral:misc_RNA from 1 species